GGAAUAUUGCGCAAUGGAGGCAACUCUGACGCAGCCAUGCCGCGUGCAGGAAGAAGGCGCUACGCGUUGUAAACUGCUUUUAACCGGGAAGAAACCCCAGGACGUGUCCUGGGUUGACGGUACCGGAGGAAUAAGCACCGGCUAACUUUGUGCCAGCAGCCGCGGUAAUACGAAGGGUGCAAGCGUUAUCCGGAUUCAUUGGGUUUAAAGGGUGCGUAGGCGGGGCGUUAAGUCAGUGGUGAAAUCUUGCAGCUCAACUGUAAACUUGCCAUUGAUACUGGCGCUCUUGAGUGCGCUUGAAGUAGGCGGAAUGUGUCGUGUAGCGGUGAAAUGCUUAGAUAUGACACAGAACACCAAUUGCGAAGGCAGCUUACUAAGGCGAUACUGACGCUGAGGCACGAAAGCGUGGGGAUCGAAC
rnacentral:rRNA from 1 species